CUCAGGACGAACGCUGGCGGCGUGCCUAACACAUGCAAGUCGAGCGAGGAGAUCCUUCGGGAUGAUCCUAGCGGCGGACGGGUGAGUAACACGUGGGCAACCUGCCUCAUAGAGAGGAAUAGCCUUCCGAAAGGGAGAUUAAUACCUCAUAACAUUGCAGUUUCGCAUGAAACAGCAAUUAAAGGAGCAAUCCGCUAUGAGAUGGGCCCGCGGCGCAUUAGCUAGUUGGUGAGGUAACGGCUCACCAAGGCGACGAUGCGUAGCCGACCUGAGAGGGUGAUCGGCCACAUUGGGACUGAGACACGGCCCAGACUCCUACGGGAGGCAGCAGUGGGGAAUAUUGCACAAUGGGGGAAACCCUGAUGCAAGCAACGCCGCGUGAGUGAUGACGGCCUUCGGGUUGUAAAGCUCUGUCUUCAGGGACGAUAAUGACGGUACCUGAGGAGGAAGCCACGGCUAACUACGUGCCAGCAGCCGC
rnacentral:rRNA from 1 species